CCUACGGGGGGCAGCAGUGAGGAAUAUUGGUCAAUGGGCGGGAGCCUGAACCAGCCAAGCCGCGUGAAGGACGAAGGUACUUAGUAUUGUAAACUUCUUUUGUCGGGGAACAAAAGCGGAGUCGCGUCUCUGGACGAGUGUACCCGAAGAAAAAGCAUCGGCUAACUCCGUGCCAGCAGCCGCGGUAAUACGGAGGAUGCGAGCGUUAUCCGGAUUUAUUGGGUUUAAAGGGUGCGCAGGCGGGAGAUAAAGUCAGCGGUAAAAGGGCGGGGCUCAACCCCGGCCGGCCGUUGAAACUGGUUGUCGUGAGAUGUAGAGAGGUAUGCGGAAUGCGUGGUGUAGCGGUGAAAUGCUUAGAUAGGGCGAAGAACUCCGAUUGCGAAGGCAGCAUACCGGCGGCAAACUGACGCGGAGGCACGAAAGCGUGGGUAUCGAACAGGAUUAGAUACCCGGGUAGUC
rnacentral:rRNA from 1 species